rnacentral:rRNA from 1 species
CUAGCGACUUCAGAGUUUGAUCUGGCUCAGGAUGAACGCUGGCGGCGUGCUUAACACAUGCAAGUCGAACGAAGCACUUUACUUUGAUUUCUUCGGAAUGAUUGUUCUGUGACUGAGUGGCGGACGGGUGAGUAACGCGUGGGUAACCUGCCUCGUACAGGGGGAUAACAGUUGGAAACGGCUGCUAAUACCGCAUAAGCGCACAGCAUCGCAUGAUGCAGUGUGAAAAACUCCGGUGGUAUGAGAUGGACCCGCGUUGGAUUAGCUAGUUGGUGAGGUAACGGCUCACCAAGGCGACGAUCCAUAGCCGACCUGAGAGGGUGACCGGCCACAUUGGGACUGAGACACGGCCCAA